CUGGUGAACGACAAAGAGCGUGUGUCAUUAUUGGUCGCUAGUCCAUCUCCGCAAACUACCAUAACAUCAGAGCAAACGGAGCAGGAGAGGUGCGUGAGCGCACGCCAUGUCGAUGCGGCAGCCUCAAGCCUGCAGCCUGCAGGGUAGGGUACCUGCCCUUGACGGAGCGGAGGAGCGCGUGAUGAUCCUCCAGGAUUGCUUCCUCCACCUUCGCUCCGGCGUGCCCGCCCAGGUACACAAUGUAGACCUGUUCAGUUCACAUUGGCGAUAGUUCAGUUAUGCAGCAUGUCUCUUCUUUGCAAAACAAGCACUCAAAUCUUUUCAAGUAUGUUGAACCUGACAGAGCUGUGCUAACAGACUUUAUCGGGUUCACUACCCAGCAUGACGGGUGUAAGGAUUUACAGGUGCAUGAAUAAAACCAUCUGCACUGUCGAUCUUAAGCAAGGGGAAAAAACAUCAAAUAAAUGAAAUAGAGUGAGCAGACGAGGACCUGGUCUUGCUUGCCGGAGGCGGAGGAGACUAAGGAAAGAGAAGAGAGGACAAGGAAGAG
rnacentral:lncRNA from 1 species